AAGAAGGCGGGCUCAGGCUGGUGUUCUCCGCUGCAGUAACACGUAGUCCAGUCAGAUCACUGAGGAGAACAAUGGAGGCCACAUCUACUCACCGUCUGAUCUUUCUGACCUUCUUGCUGCGCUGUACAACAGAUCAAGUCCUCUCAGCUGGUCUGACUGUGAGUCCCAGCAGAUCUCAGUUCUUUGAAGGAGACUCUGUGUCUCUGAGCUGUGAGGAGGACAACAGCUCUGCUGGAUGGACUGUGAGGAGGAACACAACCAGGACUCAGUGUGGAGAUGGAUGGGGGAUAGCAGCUGGUUCUACCUGUAACAUCAGCUACCUGGUCCCAGAUGACAGUGGUGUUUACUGGUGUGAGUGGAGAGAGGGAGCAGCCAGCAGCAGCAUCCAGCU